rnacentral:sRNA from 2 species
CGCCCGUCGCACCAUGGGAGUUGGUAAUGCCCAAAGUCGGUGAGUUAACUUCGGAGACCAUUGCCUAAGGCAGGACUGAUGACUGGGGUGAAGUCGUAACAAGGUAUCCCUACGAGAACGUGGGGAUGGAACACCUCCUUUCUACGGAGUACAUUAGUCUUAAUUGACUUAUUACAUAAUCGAUUCGUGUCUAGUUUUGAGAGCUUUAAGUUCUCAAUUAUAGUUCUUUGAAAACUGAAUAGCAAAUAACAAUAUGAUUAACUUCAUAUUUAUUAUUUCAACGAUCUUUUUUAUAACCGAGUUUAAUUUUUAAAUUAAAUUUCUAAAAUAGAUUACCAAUAUUAAAAUACCUUAAGAUAUUUAUCUUUAGCAAUAAUAGGCAAUAUUAAAGUUGUAUUAACUUUUAAAUUAAGUAAGAGUAUUUGGUGGAUGCCUUGGGUCUGAAAGUCGAUGAAGGACGCGAUUACCUGCGAUAAGCUUCGUGGAGUUGGAAAUAAACUAUGAUACGGAGAUUUCCGAAUGGGGUAACCUAACUGAGCAAACCUCAGUUGCAUUUUGAUGAAUCCAUAGUCAAAUUAGCGAGACACGUUGCGAAUUGAAACAUCUUAGUAGCAACAGGAAAAGAAAAUAAAUAAUGAUUUCGUCAGUAGUGGCGAGCGAAAGCGAAAGAGCCCAAACCUGUAAAAAGGGGUUGUAGGACAUCUUACAUUGAGUUACAAAAUUUUAUGAUAGUAGAAGAAGUUGGAAAGCUUCAACAUAGAAGGUGAUAUUCCUGUAUACGAAAUCAUAAAAUCUCAUAGAUGUAUCCUGAGUAGGGCGGGGCACGUGGAACCCUGUCUGAAUCUGCCGGGACCACCCGGUAAGGCUAAAUACUAAUCAGACACCGAUAGUGAACUA